rfam:Vigna angularis cultivar Jingnong 6 chromosome 8, whole genome shotgun sequence.
AUACCUUUCUCGGCCUUUUGGCUAAGAUCAAGUGUAGUAUCUGUUCUUAUCAGUUUAAUAUCUGAUAUGUGGACCAUUGGUUCACAUGAUAUUAAAUUUAUUUUUUAAGGGAGAAGGCCAACUACAGUAGCUUGCUGCUGUGGCUCUUAAGCAUUGUCCCUGCUUUGCACUACUGCAAGGUUCGGGUGCAUCCCCU